GAAUUCUCAACCGUGUCCUUGCAGGCACGGCUUGGACUUGGGAGUUGCUGGCGUCGUGAGACGUCGGCUCUCCUCAAACGCAUCAGCGGGACUAGCAUGCCCGGACGUGCACGGCCUAGUUCGACGUGAUAACGAUCGUCGUCGGGCUGGAGUGUCCGGACGACGCCAGAUUCUGCUUCCGACCGCUCAGCUACUAGCCCUCGUGGCGAACGCGGGCGCACCGUCACC
rnacentral:misc_RNA from 1 species